GACUACUGAGGCACCCCUCAAAGACUGAAAUAAACCGGCUUGGGUUCGUGGAGAAUUCCCCAGCCCGUGUUUUAAAAGCUGCUAGGUCUAUUGGAUUGAAUGGCACAUGGGUGUAAACUUGCAUGGUGGUAGCCUGACGUCCGUCUUCCCCUGGGCAAGCCACAACAGUCUCGGCUGAGGAAUCAGGUCCACGUUUCACUAAAGAUCAGCCAGUCUUCCAGGGGACAGAGAAGGGAAAUGGCUGUGUUGGAACCAGCUCAGAUGCCGGUGACCUUCGAGGAGGUGGCUGUUUAUUUCACCCAGGAGCAGGGGGCUCUGC